rnacentral:rRNA from 1 species
GAUUAACGCUGGCGGCGUGCCUAACACAUGCAAGUCGAGCGGCAGCGAGUUUUACACUGAAUUCUGGAAGCUUCUAGUUGAAAGAGAAGAUUUAUUCAAGAAUUUUGUGUAAAAUGUCGGCGAGCGGCGGACGGCUGAGUAACGCGUGGGAACGUACCCCAAAGUGAGGGAUAACGCAUCGAAAGGUGUGCUAAUACCGCAUAUGGUCUUCGGAUUAAAGCCUUCGGGCGCUUUGGGAACGGCCUGCGUAAGAUUAGAUAGUUGGUGGGGUAAUGGCCUACCAAGUCGACGAUCUUUAACUGGUUUGAGAGGAUGAUCAGUCAGACUGGAACUGAGACACGGUCCAGACUCCUACGGGAGGCAGCAGUGAGGAAUCUUACACAAUGGGUGAAAGCCUGAUGGAGCAACGCCGCGUGCAGGAUGAAGGCCUUCGGGUUGUAAACUGCUUUUAUAAGUGAGGACUAUGACAGUAACUGAUGAAUAAGGAUCGGCUAACUACGUG